rfam:Salmo salar isolate Sally breed double haploid chromosome ssa20, whole genome shotgun sequence.
AGGUACGACUACUGUAAGUCGCUCUGGAUAAGAGCGUCUGCUAAAUUACUAAAA